GAUGAAGAACGCAGCGAAAUGCGAUACUUGGUGUGAAUUGCAGAAUCCCGUGAACCAUCGAGUCUUUGAACGCAAGUUGCGCCCGAAGCCAUCAGGUUGAGGGCACGUCUGCCUGGGCGUCACAUAUCGUUGCCCAAUGCCUAUUGCAGUGCAAUAGGAAUUUCUAGGGCGAAUGAUGGCUUCCCGUGAGCGUUGUUGCCUCGCGGUUGGUUGAAAAUCGAGUCCUUGGUGGGGUGUGCCAUGGUAGAUGGUGGUCGAGUUAGAACGAUACCGAUCAUGUGCAUGCUCCCCAAAAUAUGGCCUCUAUGACCCACACGCGUCUUUUGACGCUCAUGACGAGACCUCAGGUCAGGCGGGGCUACCCGCUGAAUUUAAGCAUAUCAAUAAGCGGAGGA
rnacentral:misc_RNA from 1 species